GACGAACGCUGGCGGCGUGCUUAACACAUGCAAGUCGUACGGUAAGGCCCUUUCGGGGGUACACGAGUGGCGAACGGGUGAGUAACACGUGAGUAACCUGCCCACAACUUUGGGAUAACGCUAGGAAACUGGUGCUAAUACUGGAUAUGUGCUCCUGCUGCAUGGUGGGGGUUGGAAAGCUCCGGCGGUUGUGGAUGGACUCGCGGCCUAUCAGCUUGUUGGUGGGGUAGUGGCCUACCAAGGCGGCGACGGGUAGCCGGCCUGAGAGGGUGACCGGCCACAUUGGGACUGAGAUACGGCCCAGACUCCUACGGGAGGCAGCAGUGGGGAAUAUUGCACAAUGGGCGCAAGCCUGAUGCAGCAACGCCGCGUGCGGGAUAACGGCCUUCGGGUUGUAAACCGCUUUCAGCAGGGACGAAGCUUUUUGUGACGGUACCUGCAGAAGAAGCACCGGCUAGCUACGUG
rnacentral:rRNA from 1 species